rnacentral:rRNA from 1 species
GACGAACGCUGGCGGCGUGCCUAAUACAUGCAAGUAGAACGCUGAAACUUGGUGCUUGCACCGAGCGGAUGAGUUGCGAACGGGUGAGUAACGCGUAGGUAACCUGCCUGGUAGCGGGGGAUAACUAUUGGAAACGAUAGCUAAUACCGCAUAAGAGUAGAUGUUGCAUGACAUUUGCUUAAAAGGUGCAAUUGCACCACUACCAGAUGGACCUGCGUUGUAUUAGCUAGUUGGUGGGGUAACGGCUCACCAAGGCGACGAUACAUAGCCGACCUGAGAGGGUGAUCGGCCACACUGGGACUGAGACACGGCCCAGACUCCUACGGGAGGCAGCAGUAGGGAAUCUUCGGCAAUGGACGGAAGUCUGACCGAGCAACGCCGCGUGAGUGAAGAAGGUGUUCGGAUCGUAAAGCUCUGUUGUAAGAGAAGAACGAGGGCGAGAGUGGAAAGUUCACACUGUGACGGUAUCUUACCAGAAAGGGACGGCUAACUACGUG